GCGGCGCCGGUGGCGGCGGUGGGGCCCGGCCGCCGCCCCGCCGAGACGGAACGGGGCGAGCCCGGCUGCCCUCCCGCCUCCUGCCCGCCAGCGGCACCGGCGCGGGGGCCCGCGGAGGCCCCGGGAGAUGAUCAGUUUUUCAGAGAAAACGCAGGGCACCGGGAGGCUUUCGCUUCGUGUCAGGCGGGCGGUGGCACGGAGCCCACGCGUGUUUGAGGGGGGAAGGUGAAGGCGGAGAGCUGGCAGCCGCCACGCAGCCGGCGAGAACGGGCCGAGUGUGGGAAGAGGCCUGAGGAGGCGUUGCGGGGGUGGGACCGCUGCCUGGUGAGGCUCAGCGGACACAGAAAAGUACAUUUUUAUUCGGCUGUGCUCACGGAGCCGUUUAGCCCACCGAAAACAAAGGUGCUCUGGACUAAAGAGCUGGGAAACCUGGCGUUGGGCAGCUCGAGAAGUGCCUCGACGUUUGGAGAGGUGGUGUGGGUCCGUCCUCACCCCGAGGGGCUUGGGCCUGGGCCUGGGCCUGGGCGUCUGGUGGCUUCAGGAGCCAGAGUAAAAUUGUUCGACCUCAGUGUCCUGGAAAUGAAAAUAUGAUCAAUACAGCACCCAUUCAACAACAACAAAAAAAAGGGUUCAGUAUCAGUCACUGCAGAUACUCGAGGGAAACUGAGUAUUUUUUUCCAUGGGAAGCAUCCUGUCAAAGCUCCAGAAAUUUAUGUCACUUUAGCAAUAAGUUACUAAAACAUAUUAAGUGAAUUGACAGCAUUCUCUUGUGUAAAAUUGUGUUUUGCCACCAUAAAUACCUGACAAUUGGUAUUAGAAAUCCCUGAGCCUUGGCAGUGUAACAAUUGCUGUCAUAACUGGAAAAUAAAAAGACAACUCAUCUUCAUGCUUUGAAUACCAAGAGCUGAAUCAUCGUAAAUCGAUGCCGUUGGAGCAUUAAGAAUAAAUUAGUUUUUAGCAUAUAUUUAUAGCAUCUACUCAUGACUCGGCUUUCUGCGAAGUGCUGUUUUUGAGUUCCUGCAGUUACCAUCAGGAUGCGGUCCUUCCUGCUGGCAGCCUCUUCUCGGGAUGCUUCAAGGUACCGGACCAAGUGCCAGUAGCUUCUCUGGAGAAGGAGUCAGGGACUUGACAUUCAGCUGCUCCCCACAACUCCCCUGUAUUCACCUACACCUUCAUACGGCCGUGGCAGUUGUUUACUUUGUGCCAGGAGCUCAGAUUAACUGAAUGAUGUGUAGACCUCUAGUCUUCAUCCUCUGAAGUUCUCAAUGAGAGUUUAAAUACUAAAAAAAUCACUCACUUGGUAGCUCUUGGAAUCCUUUCUCAAGGCAGGUUCAUUGAUCAGCUCAUCCCUAGCAGAGACGCGAGGUGCCACCGUACCAAGCUGCAAACUCCAGUUCUAGUGGCUUUUCGAUAGUAACAACUCUCCCACCUUUCCAGCCUUGCACUGGAGUCUCUGAAGUUACAACACGGGUGCUUCCUGUGAGAGAUACAGUGUAAAGCUGCAGUUCUCAAAAUAAAUUACCAGCUAGGAAAAGAGCAUGCAGAGAUUCACUAUCCUUAGAGGUAAUGUUUCUCCCACCUGUCUUCAGAACUGAGAAUUGCAAGCUCAUCGUUUUAUGCAUGAUGGGAAUGCAAAGAAAAAAACACAGAUCUUUUCUAAUAUGCCCUGAAAGUACAUCUCAGUCUUUCUGAGCUAAAUAGAAUUCUAUGUCAAGAGAAAAUACAGCACCGUAAAUAUUGUAUAGCACUAUGUCCUGGUGUGUUCCAGUGCUAACGGUUACCUAAUACAGUUCCUUAUUAAUAUGGUGUGUUUCCUUGGCACCUUUUGGUUGGUGCCUUACUGAAUCUACUCAUGAUUUGUUUUUAUUUGAGCUUGGGGGUGGCAACACGUGAAGCUGCACCACCACAAUAGGCGGGAGUAUUAUUUUAGGGCCUAUCUAGAGCCGAUGGGAAUUUCUACAGUCACUAAAAUGGAGUCUCAAAUGGAAAGCCUGGGUUAGAAAAUGCUCCCAAAGUAGGCUCAUCCAUCCCUGGCUUGUGUCCUUCCCAUUCCAUUCCUGUGUUCCUUCCACCAUUCCAGCUGGAAGCCUUACUACCCGCUGUUUGCCUCAGUGCUUAUAAAUACACCACCUCGCAGCUCCACGCUCGGGAGGGCUCCCUGUUGCACCCUCAUCGCGGAUCAGGUGGAUUCAGGCGUCGACAAGAAAGGAGCGUGUUAGUAAUGACCCAGCUAUUUGUUACGUGUGUGUUGCAGAGGGCAGGUACUCUGGCUGCAGCGUCCUGCGUUCGGGUCGAGAACAAACAGAGCAUUAGUCAUGCCCCAAACAGCCGUUGUGUAACUCUUCCCUUGGCCAGGCUCCGCCGACGCGAUCCUGGCUGUGGUUUACUGCUCUGCAGCGACUCCCAAGCCUCUUCCCAUGCUGCUGGUUCCCUGGCACCUCAGCUUCCUAGCGCUAACAUUUUCCCAGUUGCUUUAUUAUUUCCUAGGGCUGCUGCAAGGACUGAUCGAUACCUCUUCCCACUUCUCCCGGGUUUUCCCCUUAAGGAGUCAUCUGUCUGGUGAGUAAUGCCCGUCCUCAAGCGUAGCUUUCCUUCCCUGGGCACUCCCCUUUCACAGCAUGCUGCAGCCACACGCGGAUCUUGCAGCUCCGUGACUCAUCUCUUUCUGGAUCCUCUGCAUCCAAGAAGCAGCAUGCUGGGGGAUGAUAGUAAAUCUCCUAGUGAAAGCAAGAUUUUAUGGUUGUGCUUAUUCAUCAUUCUCCAAAGCAGAGCUCUAUCUUGUACAUGCCAACAGAAGCAGGGGCACUGAGUAGUGAAGAACGUACUAACUGGCGUGGUAAUCUUCCCUAAUGAACAGCAGAGGUAUUCAGAAGCAGAGAUGUUUUAAGGAAGUUGCUAGAUUGUAACAGUUUCUUUGGAUACUGCUUUUUAAAAAAUAAAUAAAAAUGAGAGCCUAUAAAGGAUUUUAGUAGUAGAAACCAGUAAUAUUCAAAUACCUAUCACUUCCACUGGUUUGAUAUUGUAGAGACCUCUGAGCACUUAACAGUAAGCCAUUUUUCAGCCAUUUUUCAGCUUUUUGCCUCUUUCUGGUCACGCGAGGGCUGCACUAGUGCUUGCACUCAGGACACUUUUCAUACCUUGGUCACUGACAGCCUGUACCUCCUCUGCAAAAUGGUCCAUCACAUCCUAUCACUGUAGUUGAGAGUAAAUGCAAGCCAGCAGAGUUUACUCCUGUUUAAUUUGACUACAAAAUUAAAUGAGUGUCCCCACAGUCAGCUUGUAACACUAGGUAAAUGUGUCUCUCUCUUAUUUUAUUUAUCACUAUAGUGUCCUGAUGAGUGAAAUUCUGACUUUGCUUUAACAUAAUGUGAAAACAUGAUUGCAAUUUUGUACAACCAGACUGAAAUGCACAGUUGCAAAUUAAAAAAAAAAAAAAAAAAAAGGUUUAGAGUGGAAUUGUGCAGGUGUGCUGGAUUGUACUUGGAUUGUACCUUCCGGUGAAUGUAGAUGGGAAUGUGUGUUUCUGGAUCCAUUUGGAUUUAAAUGCUAGAGCACAUUAACCAUUUUCAGCUUUUUUUUUUUUUUUUUUUUUUUUCAGUAUUUUCCAUGCACAUUUCUAUGUACGUCCUGCUUAUCUUGGGCCUUCCACAUGCAGCUAAAUGGUAAACAAGGAUAGUAAUACUUGCAGAAAUUGUAUCCAAGGUUUAACUGGUACAAAACCAAGUGCUAUUUAGGAAGAACUUGGGAAUUGGUGCCUUGUACUAUGCAGUUGUAAGCAAAUAUGGGUAUUGAGAAGUCAAGGCUUACUUCAAGAUGAUCUCUAAAUGCAGCAACCUCAAAAUUAAAUUUUGGUAUAGUAGCUUAUUUAUUCAAAAAAAAAAAAAUGAGGUGCAAAAUAAUUAGCAGCAAUUGCAGUUGCAGGUUUUGCAUGAGUGCAGAGGUCCUGCAUGCAAAUCAACAUCCUGUCUCGCGGGACAAGUCUCAAAAUUUCCACUCCCUCAUAAAGUUUUCUCCUUUGAUAAGAGCUCUUAAAUAAUAAUAAUUAAAUAGCUGUUAGAUAUUAUACAAGAUCGGCUCUAGGUUUUUUGCUAUUUUUAAAAAUUUAUUAUUUCAUUUCCAUGCUGCAUCAUACCAAUCUUUCCUCUAGAUGGUGCCCGAUACCCAAGAGUUGGGUGUAAUACUAUCCCAUAUGAAAGGCUAUUGAGAAAUAGUCAGGACGCCACUCUCCUUUGUUUCUAAAUUCUGUCUUAUAAUAGUUCAUCUAAGUUGAUAGAUUACUUGUUCUGCAUGAUAUAAAUAAGGUGUUUCUUCCUCUUGAGAAUCUUAAAAUCCAUUCACUAGAGCCUAAAAUGCCACCUGCCUGGAACAGUAUCAUCUGUUACUCCGUGGACCGAUCCAUAUCUCAUAUUACUUAUGGCAGCCAUUAACUGGUGUUAGCUGUUGGUCGGCUAGACGGUAUGUACAUCACUGCUGCAAUUGUGGGAGCUUAUUAUUUGCCUAGUUUUCAAAUAAAUGAAUUCUCUCUGAAUAUUAUAUAAACAUUUGUCUGUGUCUCUAUUUACAUAGAAAUGCAAAAUUUCAAAUACGGAUGAAAUGCAUGUGCAGAUGCACAACAGUGAUCUGUGUACCUGUGUGCUCACAGCUCUGUAAGGGGAAGGACCAGGGCCCAAUCCUCCAUUUUUGGAAUUCUGGAAGCACCUGGGAGCCUCACAGGAUGGACACACAUUGUUCGACUGCUACUGGGAGUUCAUCACCUCUCUACCCUCGUAGCUGGACAUGCUAAUUUUACUGGAACUCCUUCAGCUAAAUACAUCAUUUAAAUAGAAUUAUGUCCCCUUGUAUCCCAUACUCUUUCUCUGUUAAGUUGUGAGGAUUUUUGUAUGUUUAAUUUCUGUUUGUCAGUUUUACAAAAACAUUAGCUAUUUUUGUGGAGGAGCAUGCAGGGUUCACAGUAUUUAAAAAUGCUGUUUUUAUUGAAAUAAAAAUGUUUAAAAAUGG